GCAUCUGGUUUCUCAAUGUCGUUUCCGCAGUUUGCAAAAUGCUGUGAUGAAUCAUGAAAUCUAUGGCGUAUGUCAGACUUCAGAGAUGCCAUUUGGCAUCGAUGAGAAGAUAUUUCAUAUUCUGAGCAAUAAUGUUGCAUUUCAUACCGAUAGUUGCCAAACUAUAAAUUGUUAUAGCCUUUUUUCUUGAUGUCCAUGCAUGCUUAUAUGUUUGAAGGUCAAGUGAUGAGGAAUAAACCAUCAACAAUAUGAUGGAGCUCUUCUCCUCUGAUUCUUAGUAUUUAAGUCCCUGAUGGUACCUCAACACCCUGCUAUGUUUGUGGCUUUCUAUGCUAUCCACAUACUGAAGGAAGUCUUGCUAUCUUCACAACAAAUAUAUUUUUUCUUGAACGAGCUUAUAAAUUGAACUAUCUCCACAACAAAGAUAUUUACCACUUGUAGUUCCAAUCUAAAGUGUUGCUUGAUUUCAUUUGUGGUUCAAGUGAUGAUGAGAAACUGCAACAAUAUGGCAGGAGUUAUACUCCUGUGAUACGUAGUUUAACGUUUGAUGAUUUCUUAUCUUCAAAUAACCAUUGUAUUGUUGCAAUGCUGCUCACGUUCUUGUUUUCUUAUGAAUUGCUUGAUGCAAUUUCUAAGACGAGUUUCUUUGACACUGAGGGAGUAUUGUCUUAGUACUUGUAUAUCCAUCAGUUGUUACCAUGCCUUUGUGGCGCAGUCUGAAUCUCUAUAGACCGAUCAUAUCUGAAUUAUGAGCCAAGCACAUCAUCUCUACAGUUUCAGAACGGAAAACCAAUCAUGCUAUAUGUAUUAAGCAACUCCAUUGCAAUCUAAUUUGUUCAGAAUGGAGAUGAAAACUUUGGUUGGUUUGCAUCAAACCUUAUAGCCACAUAUAUAUAUAUAUAUAUAUAUAUAUAUAUAAAGCUUCCAUUUAACAUCCAAAGAAUGCAUACCUGAUUUGAGUUAGACUCUAGUCUUGACUAUUUUAUGUAGGUGGCAACUGACAAGUUGAGUUUCAGUCUAGCUCAUAUGAAGUUUCUCUAUAUGCAGGAGGGCGAGCUGGAGGAACUUGAGAAGGGCGUGGAGCCUGCAUGGGAGCACUUGGUCCACCCGCUCGAGCGCAUCAUCGAUAGGCUGAACGUCGUUGACCACAUCAAGGCCGUCAAGGACUCGCCCGACCUCUGUGCCGCUGUCGAGGAUGUCCAGGUAGCCUCUUCUUCUGUCACGCCACCUGUGAUCUGGACGAAGGAAGCCGUUAAUUGGUUAGCGCAUCAUCGGAUGAUGAUGCUGUCUCUGUAUUUCUUCUUACUCCAUGAAUUAUUCCUGAUGAAUGCUGCUUGUUUUGCACAAGCUGGCAAGGACACUAGCUAGAGCGCACUGCCGCUCCUCUUCUUGCAUGCAACAUAAUCUGAAAUUCAUUCAUUUCCACUGUGCGUAGAAAAUAUAGUUUACAACUAUCAACUUGUUUCACUAUUCAGUUUGUCACCCAUUCAGCUUACUUACUAGGGCAUCUUUCUUGUAAGAGUUUACUUGAUAGUACAAUAUGUUAGAAGAAACUACCAUGUCUCUGGAAUGGAUCAUCAAUCACUCUUUAUACACUUGCAACUCAGUUUCUUUCAUAUAAGUUCUGCUGCCUUUCUUUAGGUUGAGCUACUGCCCUGUUAAUUUCUUUAACAAACAUUAUCAUUUUCCAUAUUGCUUUAACAAACAUUAUAAUUUUUUCCAUUUCUCAAAUACAAAAUAGCUUGCUCCUUCUAGUUGUGGCAUCCCCACUGUUAAUAUUUAUGAUGUUGUUCCUCACUAAUAUAAUAUUUACUGAUUAUUGGUAGUCACUAGUAUUCACUGAUAACUAUGCCCUGUUUUGAUUUUUCUAUUAUUAUUUAUGCCAAAAGGUUAACAUGUUCAAAUUUAUUUUGUUCCUGGCCAUUUUGUUUUAUAACAUGCAGAUGGUGGCCUCUAUUCAUGUUUCGUCGCGAGCUCCAAGAUGAAGAAGUUGGAAGAAGCAAUGCAUGCUGGAUCUAGGCAUGCAUGCAUGCUCUAGUAUCCCUGCUUCUGAACCUAGCUAGGGAGGUGCAGGACUUUGUUGUAACGUUGAUGUUUCUGGGAAUUUUGUUGUACUGGUGAUUUUGUUGAGAGUUUGGUGUAUAUUUGCUUGCCACUAUGUUUACUUGAUACUUUUUUCUGGAUUGGAAAAUAUAUUGGCAUUGAAUCUGGGCUGAAUGUAUAUCUAU
rnacentral:lncRNA from 1 species